CACCAACAGUGCGACUUUGCGGCUGUCACUUCGCCCCCGCCUCUGCCGAAGGUUGAACUUGAGCCCUUUUCUACUGGUCUUUUACUUUGCAGGCUCCUGGUCUUCUGAAAAAUAUGCAGGGUCUUGCUAUGUACCUAGACUGGCCUAGACUUGAGAUCUUCCUUCCUCCCCCUCCCAAGUGCUGAGAUUACGGGCAUGUACCACCACACCAUGCCUGGCUGCAUUUGUUCUUUAAGCAAUUUAGUUGGAUUCUUUCACAUGGAACAUAAAGAGCCCCAACUAACAUAAUAUUUUUUGAGCUUGGUUCCAGAACUGUCUAUGAUGAUUUUGCUGGGAGAACAACAUUGCAAUCCUUUUCCUCUUGAAGUUCCAGAAAUCGCUAUGAUGACUUCCCUGAGCUCCCUUGGAGAAGAACAAUGAAGACUUUUACACUUUAAAAAUCUUAAAUCACCCCUCAGCCAUUUUCCCUGCAUCCUUAUUGGAAAUCUGAUCGUCAUCAGAAGAGUCUGUAUCAGGUAGCUUCUGGCCCAUACUUUUCUCGCGUGUGACACUGUACAUAUCCUUAAGCCAAAUUGGCCACCUUAACCAGAAAAAGCUCACCUAGGCAAGAGAAGGGGAGAUAUUAGUUCUGCUUUCCCCUCCGUUUUCCAGCCACAGCACCAAGUCCUCUUCCAACUUGCCUGACUCUCACUUUCCAUUGUGUUU